rnacentral:rRNA from 1 species
UACGGGGGGGGCAAGCGUUGUUCGGAAUUACUGGGCGUAAAGGGCUCGUUGGCGGCCAACUAAGUCAUACGUGAAAUCCCUCGGCUUAACCGGGGAACUGCGUCUGAUACUGGAUGGCUUGAGAUUGGGAGAGGGAUGCGGAAUUCCAGGUGUAGCGGUGAAAUGCGUAGAUAUCUGGAGGAACACCGGUGGCGAAGGCGGCAUCCUGGACCAACACUGACGCUGAGGAGCGAAAGCCAGGGGAGCAAACGGG